rnacentral:rRNA from 1 species
UACGUAGGGUGCAAGCGUUAAUCGGAAUUACUGGGCGUAAAGCGUGCGCAGGCGGUUUUGUAAGUCUGUCGUGAAAUCCCCGGGCUCAACCUGGGAAUUGCGAUGGAGACUGCAAGGCUAGAAUCUGGCAGAGGGGGGUAGAAUUCCACGUGUAGCAGUGAAAUGCGUAGAGAUGUGGAGGAACACCGAUGGCGAAGGCAGCCCCCCUGGGUCAAGAUUGACGCUCAUGCACGAAAGCGUGGGGGAGCAAACAGG